rnacentral:sRNA from 1 species
GCUGGGUAUGGAAGUGUAUACCUAUAAUCCCAGCUACAUGGGAGGCUGAGGCAAGAGGAUCCCAAGUUUGGAACCAGCCUGGGCAACUUUGCAAGUCUUUGUCUCAA